CUCUGCCCUCCGAGGUCGCCCGCAGCUGCCGCCCGCUCUGGGCUUGGGGACCUCGGCCCUGCGCCUUUCCGCACUCCUGGCAGGUGCAGCCCCAGGAGGCAAUGGGGCAGGCAAACUGGAUGGUGCCCCAGGUGUAGCAAGCUUGGAAGGCUUCAAAGGACGGGACAAGUUUGGCCUGGACAAGUUUCCUCCUAGAAGUCACUUAAUCUGCAAAAUCAAGAUAAGACCAUUUUCCCCAUGUGACUUGACAAGACAAUAUUAAAGCUCAAGGUGAUGCAUGUAAAAAGAUUGUGGAAGCCAUAAAGCUUUAUAGAGAUACAUAAUCACUGUCUCUUCCUCAUCUCCUGCCCCAUUCUGCUACCCUUGCUUUAAUAAAAAUUGUUUCCCCGAA
rnacentral:lncRNA from 1 species